UACGUAGGGUGCAAGCGUUAUUCGGAAUUACUGGGCGUAAAGCGUGCGCAGGCGGUGAUGUAAGACAGUUGUGAAAUCCCCGGGCUCAACCUGGGAACUGCAUCUGUGACUGCAUUGCUGGAGUGCGGCAGAGGGGGAUGGAAUUCCGCGUGUAGCAGUGAAAUGCGUAGAUAUGCGGAGGAACACCGAUGGCGAAGGCAAUCCCCUGGGCCUGCACUGACGCUCAUGCACGAAAGCGUGGGGAGCAAACAGG
rnacentral:rRNA from 1 species